AACUUAUGGCAAUGGAUCUCUUGGCUCUCGCAUCGAUGAAGAACGCAACGAAAUGCGAUAAGUAAUGUGAAUUGCAGAUUUUCAGUGAAUCAUCGAAUCUUUGAACGCACCUUGCGCUCCUUGGUAUUCCGAGGAGCAUGCCUGUUUGAGUGUCAUUAAAUUCUCAACCUUAUCAGCUAUUGUUGAUAAUGGCUUGGAUGUGGGGGUUUCUUUGCUGGCUUCUUAACGAGUUCAGCUCCCCUUAAAAGUAUUAGCUGGUUGCGUUGUGCAGACUGUCUAUUGGUGUGAUAAUUAUCUACGCCGUGGACUUUUCUGCUAGUAUUUUAGCACCGCUUCUAACUGUCUGUUGACUCGGACAAUAUAUAUGACAAUUUGACCUCAAAUCAGGUAGGACUACCCGCUGAACUUAAGCAUAUCAAUAAGCGGAGGCU
rnacentral:misc_RNA from 1 species